UUCCAUUAGAAUCAGCUUCACCAAGUCCUACUCCUUCCUCAGCUUCUGCUCCUUCACCUCAAGAGGUACCUGUUCCACAUCAAGGACACUCAAUGAUCACCAGAGCAAAAGCUGGCAUUGUCAAACCAAACCCACGAUAUGUGUUGCUCACGCAGAAAGUGGCUAUCCCUGAACCACGUUCUGUUGCUGCAACACUUAAUCAUCCUGGUUGGCACAAUGCAAUGCAAGAAGAGUAUGAUACCUGUGAAGAGACGAACACGUUCACUCUUGUGCCUCGCACUCCUGAUAUGCAUGUUCUUGGCUCAGGAUGGGUUCAUCGUGUGAAGCUUAAUGCUGAUGGCACUUUGAACAAGCUUAAGUCUCGCGUGGUGGCAAGCGGUAACGAGCAGGAAGAAGGUGUUGAUUACUUAGAGACCUACAGUCCAGUUGUUAGAAUGGCAUCAGUAAGGACUAUUCUACACAUGGCUACGGUGCUGAAUUGGGAAAUUAAACAAAUGGAUGUUAAGAAUGCGUUCUUACAUGGAGAUCUCCAUGAGAAAGUUUUCAUGAGGCAGCCUUCCGGGUUCGUUGAUAAGCAGAAACCUGAUCAUGUAUGGAGUCUCAACAAGGCUAUCUACG
rnacentral:lncRNA from 1 species